rnacentral:rRNA from 1 species
AUACGUAGGGUGCAAGCGUUAAUCGGAAUUACUGGGCGUAAAGCGUGCGCAGGCGGUUUUGUAAGACAGGGGUGGAAUCCCCGGGCUCAACCUGGGGACUGCCUUUGUGACGGCCAGGCUAGAGUACGGCAGAGGGGGAUGGAAUUCCCAGGGUAGCAGUGAAAUGCGUAGAUAUGCGGAGGAACACCGAUGGCGAAGGCAUUCCCCUAGACCAGUACUGACGCUCAUGCACGAAAGCGUGGGGAGCAAACAGGAUUAGAUACCCAGAUAGUACACGCCCGAAACGAUGCUAACAGAUUAUUGGGUCUUCAUUAACACAGUAACGAAGCUAACGCGAGAAGUUGACCGCCUGGGGAGUAAGGCCGCAAGGUGGAAACUCAAAGGAAUUGACGGGG